GGCCGCGUCGACAGCAACCUGACGUUACCAGAGGAAUCAGCAUCGGCUAACUCCGUGCCAGCAGCCGCGGUUAAGACGGAGGAUGCAAGCGUUAUCCGGAAUGAUUGGGCGUAAAGCGUCCGCAGGUGGCAGUUCAAGUCUGCUGUCAAAGACCGGGGCUUAACUUCGGAAAGGCAGUGGAAACUGAACAGCUAGAGUAUGGUAGGUGCAGAGGGAAUUCCUGGUGUAGCGGUGAAAUGCUAGAGAUCAGGAAGAACAUCGGUGGCGAAGGCGCUCUGCUGGACCAUAACUGACACUCAGGGACGAAAGCUAGGGGAGCGAAUGGGAUUAGAUACCCCAGUAGUCCUAGCCGUAAACGAUGGAUACUAGGUGUUGUCUGUAUCGACCCGGACAGUGCCGUAGCUAACGCGUUAAGUAUCCCGCCUGGGGAUACGCACGCAAGUGUGAAGCUCAAAGGGAUUGACGGGGGCCCGCACAAGCGGUGGGUCGACGCGGCCG
rnacentral:rRNA from 1 species